GCGAUGGCGCGGCUACCGUGCAGUCGAACGGUAGCACAGAGGAGCUUGCUCCUUGGGUGACGAGUGGCGGACGGGUGAGUAAUGUCUGGGGAUCUGCCCGAUGGAGGGGGAUAACUACUGGAAACGGUAGCUAAUACCGCAUAACGUCGCAAGACCAAAGUGGGGGACCUUCGGGCCUCACACCAUCGGAUGAACCCAGAUGGGAUUAGCUAGUAGGUGGGGUAACGGCUCACCUAGGCGACGAUCCCUAGCUGGUCUGAGAGGAUGACCAGCCACACUGGAACUGAGACACGGUCCAGACUCCUACGGGAGGCAGCAGUGGGGAAUAUUGCACAAUGGGCGCAAGCCUGAUGCAGCCAUGCCGCGUGUAUGAAGAAGGCCUUCGGGUUGUAAAGUACUUUCAGCGGGGAGGAAGGCGAUAAGGUUAAUAACCUUGUCGAUUGACGUUACCCGCAGAAGAAGCACCGGCUAACUCCGUGCCAGCAGCCGCGGUAAUACGGAGGGUGCAAGCGUUAAUCGGAAUUACUGGGCGUAAAGCGCACGCAGGCGGUCUGUCAAGUCGGAUGUGAAAUCCCCGGGCUUAACCUGGGAACUGCAUUCGAAACUGGCAGGCUAGAGUCUUGUAGAGGGGGGUAGAAUUCCAGGUGUAGCGGUGAAAUGCGUAGAGAUCUGGAGGAAUACCGGUGGCGAAGGCGGCCCCCUGGACAAAGACUGACGCUCAGGUGCGAAAGCGUGGGGAGCAAACAGGAUUAGAUACCCUGGUAGUCCACGCUGUAAACGAUGUCGACUUGGAGGUUGUGCCCUUGAGGCGUGGCUUCCGGAGCUAACGCGUUAAGUCGACCGCCUGGGGAGUACGGCCGCAAGGUUAAAACUCAAAUGAAUUGACGGGGGCCCGCACAAGCGGUGGAGCAUGUGGUUUAAUUCGAUGCAACGCGAAGAACCUUACCUGGCCUUGACAUCCAGAGAACUUAGCAGAGAUGCUUUGGUGCCUUCGGGAACUCUGAGACAGGUGCUGCAUGGCUGUCGUCAGCUCGUGUUGUGAAAUGUUGGGUUAAGUCCCGCAACGAGCGCAACCCUUAUCCUUUGUUGCCAGGAUUCGG
rnacentral:rRNA from 1 species